rnacentral:rRNA from 1 species
UACGUAGGGUGCGAGCGUUAAUCGGAAUUACUGGGCGUAAAGCGCGCGUAGGUGGUUUGAUAAGUUGGAUGUGAAAGCCCCGGGCUCAACCUGGGAAUUGCAUCCAAAACUGUCUGACUAGAGUACGGUAGAGGGUAGUGGAAUUUCCUGUGUAGCGGUGAAAUGCGUAGAGAUUUGGAGGAACACCAGUGGCGAAGGCGACUGUCUGGUCUGUAACUGACACUGAGGCGCGAAAGCGUGGGGAGCAAACAGG